ACGACCUCCAUUUACAUUUACUUCGAGGCAUUCCCCUGUUUAAAAUAUAUACAAAUAUUUUGGGACAUUUCCCGAAUGAAUUUAACUAUGGGAACGACCUCUCGACUCAAAAUUAAAAAAAGUCCUAAAGCUUGCCUAUUCGAGUGUGACUGGCCUAAGCAUACUCCUAACGAAUAAACCAAUAGAACAAAAUAAUUAGCAUGCUAAACCUAACCUUCAUUAUUAACGUCCAACCUCCCACAACCAACCAAAUUCGUCAGAUCUGUUAACGAGCAACCACUACCAAUUCUUAGUUCAUUCCUUAUUUAAUAUUUAACUAACUCGGAUUAUGUAAUUAAGCUUAACCUAUAAUAUAGAACAACAAUAAUAAUUCAGUAUAAUCCCAUUUAGUAGGGUCUAGGAGGGUAACGUGUACGCAGACAUUACCCGUAUCCUUGGAUAGAAAGGCUGUUUUCAAAUAGACCCCGGCAUACUUACCUCCAAGAACUUACCACCUUACUCUUGGGGAGACUCGAACUCGCAAACUCGAUUGGAAGUGGAGUUUGUUUAACAUAAGAGCAACCCUCUGGUUCUAUAACCUAUAAUAUAGAACAAGUAGGGGGAAAAAAUCUACUUUGUGUCAUGAACAUUAGCCAACAAACAAUACAUCAAACAUGUAGAAAAAUAUUUAAGCUAUGUAAAAUCGAGCAUAAGGCAUCAAGAAACGAGAGAAAUAAGGCAAGAAUUUGACCUCGAAUUGAGCAAAACAGCUUCAAAACUCGGUUAAAUAUAAAAUCCCAGGCUCAGCAAUUUACAGUUGAAAGCCGUGAACAAAGAACUCGAACCACAAAUAGGAAAAGGCGACGGAAUUCGGACGAAACUGAAACGGAUCUCCUUGCACAACGACCUCCGGCGACCUCGAAUCUGCGAUUGGAACCACGGAAAAAUAUUUGAAGGUAUGCGCUGGAAAUUGAAGGUAUGGUGGAGUCGGGGCUGUUUAUGGGCGUGUUGAGAGUGAUCGUCGUUUCAGUGAGGUGAAGAAGCAGGUCGCCGUUGUUGGUGUCAGGGUGUGUUGAUUCUUGGUGAAGAUGGCUGCCCUGGUGUCGUGAGGAAGAUGAUAUGCGGCGCUAGGUUUUCUCUGUUUUAUAUAUGUGUAGGUGAGGAACGUGCACUGCUGCCUAAGGAGAUUGAGAGAAUAUUUUGUGAUUAGGAGUGUUAAGAUAAAUGUACUAAAAAUAACAAUUGAAA
rnacentral:lncRNA from 1 species